UGCUGGGAGUGUUUGGUGCAUGCUGGGAAUUGUGUGACUGAGUGUGAGUGGUGUGUAGAGUUAGAUAUCUUGUUUUUUCUUUUAUGUUUCCCUUUCUUGGUGCUAUCUUAUUUUUUUCUUCCUAUUCAUGAUUAAGGUUAUCAUUUUUAUUUAGUUGUUAUGGUAGAAUUAAGUAUAUUGUUUUUUGUGUCAAAAUUACCCUGGUUUUGGCGGGGAUGGUGACCAAGAUGGGGACGCCAUUCCUGUCACUUCGGCACGGCUUUAGGUGUGUUACUGAAGCUACUGUCACUGUGGAGGAGUUUCUGGUCGCCGUAGGAGAGAAGACCAUUUCCGGAGACCUUCUCCCCUACCUCACCUCGCUCAUCAACGCAUCCUUGACCGCUGGCUACGUCCCUUCCGUCUUCAAGAGAGCGAGAGUUGCACCCCUUCUGAAAAAACCUACACUCGAUCCCUCCGAUGUCAACAACUACAGACCUAUCUGCUGCCUUUGAUACCGUGAACCAUCAGAUCCUCCUCUCCACCCUCUCCGAGCUGGGCAUCUCCGGCACCGCGCACGCUUGGAUUGCGUCCUACCUGACAGGUCGCUCCUACCAGGUGGCGAAUCGCAUCUCUGCAUGUCUGGCAGACAUAUCAGUGUGGAUGACGGAUCACCACCUCAAGCUGAACCUCGGCAAGACGGAGCUGCUCUUCCUCCCGGGGAAGGACUGCCCGUUCCAUGAUCUCGCCAUCACGGUUGACAACUCCCUUGUGUCCUCCUCCCAGAGUGCUAAGAGCCUUGGCGUGACCCUGGACAACACCCUGUCGUUCUCCACCAACAUCAAGGCGGUGACCCGA
rnacentral:lncRNA from 1 species